CUUCGAAGAAGAGGGGGUAUAUUGCUUUGCUCAUGUCGGUCGGUCUGUCGGUCGGUCUGUCGGUCGGUCUGUCGCUCCGUCCACCAGGUGGUUGUCAGAGGAUAACUCAAGAACGCUUAGGCCUAGGAUCAUGAAACUUCAUAGGUACAUUGAUCAUGACUUGCAGAUGACCCCUAUUUAUUUUGAGGUCACUAGGUCAAAGGUCAAGGUCACUGUGACCCGAAAUAGUAAAAUGGUUUUCGGAUGAUAGUUCAAGAACGCUUAUGCCUAGGAUCAUGAAACUUGAUAGGUAGAUUGAUCAUGACUAGCAGAUGACCCCUAUUAAUUUUCAGGUCACUAGGUCAAAGGUCAAGGUCACGGUGACCCGAAAUAGUAAAAUGGUUUCCGGAUGAUAAUUCAAGAACGCUUAUGCCUAGGAUCAUGAAACUUGAUAGGUAGAUUGAUCAUGACUAGCAGAUGACCCCUAUUGAUUUUCAGGUCACUAGGUCAAGGUCACGGUGACCCGAAAUAGUAAAAUGGUUUCCGGAUGAUAACUCAAGAACGCUUAUGCCUAGGAUCAUGAAACUUGAUUGCUACAUUGAUCAUGACUCGCAGAUGACCCCUAUUGAUUUUAAGGUCACUAGAUCAAAGGUCAAGGUCACGGUGACCCGAAAUAGUAAAAUGGUUUCCGGAUGAUAACUCGAGAACGCUUAUGCCUAGGAUCAUGAAACUUGAUAGGUACAUUGAUCAUGACUGGCAGAUGACCCCUAUUGAUUUUCAGGUCACUAGGUCAAAGGUCACAGUGACCCGAAAUAGUAAAAUGGUUUCCUGAUGAUAACUCAAGAAAGCUUAUGGCUAGGAUCAUGAAACUUCAUAGGUACAUUGAUCAUGACUCGCAGAUGACCCCUAUUGAUUUUCAGGUCACUAGGUCAAAGGUCAAGGUCACA